AGUGAACGCUGGCGGUAGGCCUAACACAUGCAAGUCGAACGGCAGCACAGUAAGAGCUUGCUCUUACGGGUGGCGAGUGGCGGACGGGUGAGGAAUACAUCGGAAUCUACUUUUUCGUGGGGGAUAACGUAGGGAAACUUACGCUAAUACCGCAUACGACCUACGGGUGAAAGCAGGGGAUCUUCGGACCUUGCGCGAUUGAAUGAGCCGAUGUCGGAUUAGCUAGUUGGCGGGGUAAAGGCCCACCAAGGCGACGAUCCGUAGCUGGUCUGAGAGGAUGAUCGGCCACCCUGGAACUGAGACACGGUCGAGAGUCCUGAGGGAGGCAGCAGUGGGGAAUAUUGGACAAUGGGCGCAAGCCUGAUCCAGCCAUACCGCGUGGGUGAAGAAGGCGUUCGGGUUGGAAAGCCCUUUUGUUGGGAAAGAAAAGCAGCAGGUUAAUACCCCGCUGUUCUGACGGUAACCAAUGAAUAAGCACCGGCUAACUUCGUG
rnacentral:rRNA from 1 species